UACGAGGGGCAAAUGUUGUUUCGGAAUCACUGGGCGUAAAGGGAGCGUAGGCGGGCUCUUAAGUUAGGUGUUUAAUCCCGGGGCCCAACCCCGGUCGUGCACUUAAAACUGGGAGUCUUGAAUAGUGGAGAGGUCAGUGGAAUUGGGGUGUAGCGGUGGAAUGCGUAGAGAUCCCCAAGAACACCAGUUGCGAAGGCGGCUGACUGGACACAUAUUGACGCUGAGGCUCGAAAGCAUGGGGAGCAAACAGGG
rnacentral:rRNA from 1 species